GAUGAACGCUAGCGGCAGGCCUAAUACAUGCAAGUCGAGGGGUAUGGGUUGCUUGCAACCCAGAGACCGGCGCACGGGUGCGUAACGCGUAUGCAAUCUACCUUAAUCAGGGGGAUAGCCCGGAGAAAUCCGGAUUAACACCGCAUAACAUUGAGUUGUGGCAUCACAGUUCAAUCAAAUAUUUAUAGGAUUAAGAUGAGCAUGCGUGACAUUAGUUAGUUGGUGAGGUAACGGCUCACCAAGACCACGAUGUCUAGGGGAUCUGAGAGGAUGACCCCCCACACUGGUACUGCGACACGGACCAGACUCCUACGGGAGGCAGCAGUAAGGAAUAUUGGUCAAUGGGCGAAAGCCUGAACCAGCCAUGCCGCGUGCAGGAAGACGGCCCUAUGGGUUGUAAACUGCUUUUGUACCGGAAUAAACCUUCUCUUGCGAGAGAAGCUGAACGUACGGUAAGAAUAAGGAUCGGCUAACUCCGUG
rnacentral:rRNA from 1 species